CCGUCUGUUUUCUCGCACGUUAUUGUUUCAUGCUCCAGUGAAUGACGGGUAGGCCUUCUUUACCCACGGGCCCAGCGUGGUGGUGCGUCUCACGCGUAGCCUGCGUGAAAAAAGAAAGGCUCUGCAGCGAGCGUGGGGUUCGCACGGUGAAACCCUAGCCACCAAUCGCUCGCGUCUUUGACCCACCAAUCGCUCCCUUCUUGAGCUCCGCUUCCCGUUCCCCAAUUCUCUCCGCCGCCACUGCGCCGCCUCGUCCUCCCCUGACCUCGGAGCCCAGCGUAUGGUCACCGUCGCCGCUUGCGUAGUUCUUCCCGCAGCCUCCUGCAGGACGAUGCCUCCCCAUCCUCCAUCAGCCACCGCUGUGGGCUGUGGUUCUGGACCGGUCACAGGUCGCUGCUCAGGAGCAGAGGAGGACGGCGGGGAGGGAGAAGGAGCAUAGGAGGACGGCACUGGGGGAAGGAGCAGCGAGGCCGGAGGCCGAGAUGGCGCUCACGUCAUGUGUCGGACGCUGCUCGUCGGCCCUCGUUGUCGUCCUCAAUCUAGCAUGAUGUGUGAAGGUCUGAGACAAAAAAGAAGAGGAAGAAUUUUGACGAAGAGUUGGGUCAUGGGGAACAAGGUCAUCAGAAUAUACAUAACUGUUGCCGAAGCCCUCUUGCUAAAGGUAUAAUACUCCCCCCCUUAGCAAAGGGUGAAUUCUCUGGUUUUGAUUGGCCGGGAUAAACUCCAUGAGUCUUGAGGAUUUUCGGAAUGUUGGAAUCAGUGGUGUUUUGUUUUUGAUGAUAUUAUCCGAUGGAGGUGACAGGGAGAGAAGAUGCUAGCUCAAUGGUGCUGGCCGUGAAGGAUUUUGGCGCAUCCAAGGAUAUAACCAACAUAAACACAAUGCUUACAAGGAGAUAUCGACUCAUUUGAUUGCUAUAUUGGCUUUGGUCACCCUUGUGGGGCUCCUUAUCUUUGAAGCAAGGUUCGGAUGCUCUUUGGACGCAGGAAGACGAACAUGAUAGAAAAAGAAAGGGAUCAACCUUGCCAUGACCCCAUAUUUCUGUAGGCUAAUAUCCCUUAUUUGCACUAUCCUACACCGAAUACUUAUAGGGUUAUGUGCCUUUGCCAUGCAGCACAUGUCAAUGGCAGUUCAGGAAGAGAUGACAUCACAAGUGAGCUAAAUUGAUAAGCCCACUAGCAGAAAAAUGUGGUUUGAGCCUGCUCCAACCCCUCCUCUGAUGUGGUGUGGUGGGAGGAGGAAGAAGAGCAUGCAUGCUCUCUGUCUACAUCCAGCAUCCACACGGCUAGAUCGACGGGUCUAAACUAUGGGUGAGCUCCUCCACUACCUGAUAAAUUCCUUUUCUGCUCUAUCUUUUUUCCUUCCAAUUCAUGUAAAUUGAAACUUUGAAAUCAACCAGUAUCUAAUGCCUAUAAUCCAUGGAAAUAAGUGGUCUUCAAAUGUGAAACCCAAGCCGGCAAUUGGAUACCAAUUUGCCUACUUAUUUAUACCUUCAAAUAUUGGUCAAAGACUAAUUAAGUCACUGUUUCUUAAUUUCUCUAUUCCUUAUUUAUACCUCCAAACAGUACAGAAUGUGAGGAGUUGACCUAUAAAUGUUUGCUUAUGAUUAAUGGAUCACCAAAAAUAUGGAGGAUUUAUUCAUUUGCAUUUUCAUGUUUCUCCAACUGUAUGUACCAUUGCGGAGAAGAGGCAAAGUAAUAGACAUUUUAAUUCUGAUUUAUAUAGAUAAUUGGUUAAUUUGUGGGUACCAUUCUAUCUCAGAUGUAGUACAUUGUGUGUAUGAAUCAUGGUGAAUGUCAAGCCUACUUAGGUCAUACCCAAGUAAGGUCAGUAUAGAUGUAUAGUGCUUAUAAAAUGUGGUGAUCUAAUAUAACUUUGUUCCUCAGUUAGGAAUUAUGUUUUUCUAUAGUUAAAAAUGCAUGUGUGUUGCUGUGAUGUAUAUAAGUGACAGGGAACAAAAAAGAAUGGAAGAAGGCCCUUUUGUUUCUGUUUGAUAAUUACUCAUCCAUCCUGAUGCUUGAGCAUUUUCUAUCCUCCCCUGUUUUAUUCUUUUGGUGCUACUUGGAUGUUUCUAAGGUCUGUUUUUUUGUUUUAUUUCAGAAUACAGAAAGAAUAAGUUACUAGCAUUGUGCAAGUAAACCUACUGCGAUUGUGACUGCAAAAAAAAAUCAUCACAUGCUGUGAGCUUAAAUAAAAGGAGCUAAACUGUUGUGUCAUGUUCAGAAUUGAUACUAGAAAAAAUAAUCUAAACUGCACAUUCUGAAACUAUCUAGACUCCUGCCUUUGGGGAAUUAGGUUGCUAAGCAUUACUUUGUAAAUAAAUGACAUGCUAACUUGUUGGUUCAGUUUAGAGCUAUUGGCAGGGGCUUGCUGUAGGGGGGAUAUCAUUGUGGCAGUUGAAAACCAAAGCCUUUAUUCAUGAGUGUAUGAUCUGGACUUCACUUUUCUGAAAGUAUGUUACGAUCCUGCUCUUGGAAUAAAUGGCAUGCUAAAACGUUGGUUGUUGUGGUGCAUUGCAAGGGAUCCGCGGCACAGUAGGAGAGGUGACGCCGGCCGGCAGCGCCUCACCGCCAGCUAUUGUUUGGCGCCGGCAAGGAGAAGGGCGCUUAGGAUCUGCUUCGCUGUGCAUGGCUGUUGAAGUUCAGCAUCGCCAUGAUGUGUAUGGUUUCUCUAUUUUCCUCAUAUUGCCCUAUUCCCAAUUUUACAAACUGCUAUGUGACGCACAAUGGCCACGCCACGCACUGGUGAGAUUCAAGGUGCAGUCGAGCAAGAGUCAGUUCGAGGUGAGGUGUCUCACGUCGAUCUCCUGCUGCUCACCAGCAAGGCUCGCUGACGAGCGGCCAGAUCCACACGAGGUGGAUGUCACACACACGGCCCUCUCCCCUCCAUCCUUUCUCUUUCCUACAACUAUUAUGUCUUUGUACCUUGUUAUAUUGCUCUUUCAUCCAUGGUGAUAAAGAUGUUAACUCAGUUUGAUAAUGGAGUCACAGAUUUGUAUAUGAUAAUUCUUGGAAUUCAAAUUGUAACAUCCAUACUAAUUUGUUGGUUUGUCUCAACCAAUAAUUCAAUGUAAACCUAUUAACAUGAAUUUUAUGGGUAUACAUUGUCUCCUCCUAUGCCAAUUGAUUUUCUCCAGAUUAGUUGCACCAUAAUUUCAAGAAGGUUACAAACCUAGCAAUGAAUGAGACUAUCAUUAUGAUUGAAGAUAGCUGACUGUGACAAUUGUUUCUUUUGAAGUUUCACUGUUUAUGGAGGUGACAAUGCUAGAUAUAUACAUCUGUAUCAUGGCACUUCUCCAGCAAACAAAAGCUUGGUAGCCAUCUACUUUCAGAGAGUUUGAAAAUGUACUAUCACGCUAACUCACUUAUCCAGAUUAAUGGUAAGUGUGUGUUUUCUUGUAUACCAAUCUACAGAACUACAAUUGAGAUCUCUACCUCCUAUAUUUCCCUUUUGUCAUUUUUUCUGGCUUUUAUGCUACUACUCAAAAUGUUUGACUAUUCAAUUAUAAACGUCAUGCAGCAGUGCUUACUUUCUUACUCCCUUUAGACAUGAUUUCCCUGUCCAAACAUUCAGCUGAACCGACACUAGCAAUAUUGAUCAGCUGAACUUGCAGAAGGGGAGAGGUACUAAAGGAACAUCUUACGUAUUUUUGGUCUCAUAUUCUUUGAGUACAUAACUAUCCAUUUAUUAAAAACUAUAUUUGAUGGACAAAUUGAACAGCACAAUUUAAGGAUGAUAAAAAUAAUAAUUUUAACAAGUGGAAGUAAUGUAUGGUACCGUGUAAAAAUGAAAGGUAUAGUUUUCCCACUCCUCCAAGAUGAGUUCAGUGCCUGUGUUUAAACCAUGGAUGUAGAGAUGGUCAGGUCAAAUGAAAUGUAUGAAUACUACUACAAUUGUUGAACAUUUGAUGAAAUCAGAAGUUAAGUAGAUUACAUAUAUGUAAGUUAGUCUUGUGGCUGAUGCUUUCACCAUGAUAAAUACAACCCCGAACGCAUAUGCCAACCAAUGUUUAAGCGACUCAAAGACUAUAACUAAUGCUAAAUAUCGAUGCCUGCUACUUAGGGGCACUAUCUGGCAUGGUUCAAAAGAGAGGUAAUUGUACCUGAAGCAGUGGACACAACCAUUCCUUGCAUUUGUAAGAGUUGUGCAGUAGUAUAAUAACCGUCUUUCUUUGAGGAGCAGUGUCGUUAAGUUUCAGUAGAAGUACAGGUACACGUUCCUGUUCAGCUGACUAAUGGAAAAAAAGUGAUAACAGAUUCUGUUAUUCAGGGAGCAAGAGCCAAAAUUUCUUCAACUAGCUUCUCCUAAGUUGCCCACCUCUUUCCUCGGGCAUGACUCAAUGGCUUGGAAAGAGCAGCAGAAUCAACACAAUCACCUUGAUCUGGAAGGUGGAAUUUGUUUGCUCAGAUCGAAGGAGGAUCCUGGCCUCUCCGAGCCCCGGAGGCCCGUUGCCUUGGUAAAAUAGCUCCUUUACCAGACUCCCUUGCUCCAUGGCCAGAGGCACCGGGACUGCGUGACGACGAGCAGAUUCGAAGAAAGCCAUUAUUCAACUCGGGAUGCAAACUCGCGGCGCGAGGGAGAGAAAGUGAGGGGGAUGUGGUUGGCUGACCUCGGUGUUUCCGGCGGACCUACUGGUACUUCGACCAGAUGUAUCCAGCGGCAGCAGUUGGGGCUCCGGUGGAGUCGGGGCGGCGGCAGGUGACUAGACCGCGCGUGGUGGAGAACUGGAGGAGAGGGAACCGAGCCCCACACUCACGAGCCGUUUCUUGGAGCGACUGCUCACAUGCGGCACGCGGCCGGCAGCCGGCAGCGGAGGUACACGCGUGGCUGAAGCGCUAUGGGGGCCACAAGGCAGGCGGUUCCUUUUUUAUUGAUUUGUCAUGCGUGCAUGCCUUCCUGAUUGCUUGUUGUUGCCGACACAUUAAGUGAUCACAUGUCUGUAAUCCAUUGUCGUUCUUUCUGAGAGACAGUGGGAAUACAAAUACUGAGAUUUGCUUCCCAUUUUCCUUUAA